rnacentral:misc_RNA from 1 species
GAUGAAGAACGAAGCGAAAUGCGAUAAGUAAUGUGAAUUGCAGAAUUCAGUGAAUCAUCGAAUCUUUGAACGCACAUUGCGCCCCCUGGUAUUCCGGGGGGCAUGCCUGUUCGAGCGUCAUUUCACCACUCAAGCCUCGCUUGGUAUUGGGCAACGCGGUCCGCCGCGUGCCUCAAAUCGACCGGCUGGGUCUUCUGUCCCCUAAGCGUUGUGGAAACUAUUCGCUAAAGGGUGUUCGGGAGGCUACGCCGUAAAACAACCCCAUUUCUAAGGUUGACCGCGGAUCAGGCAGGGAUACCCGCUGAACUUAAGCAUAUCAAUAAGCGGAGGA